AUUGAACGCUGGCGGCAUGCUUUACACAUGCAAGUCGAACGGUAACAGGCCUUCGGGCGCUGACGAGUGGCGAACGGGUGAGUAAUGCAUCGGAACGUACCCAGAGGUGGGGGAUAACGCAGCGAAAGCUGUGCUAAUACCGCAUGUGAUCUGAGGAUGAAAGCGGGGGACCGAGCAGCAAUGUUUGGCCUCGCGCCUUUGGAGCGGCCGAUGUCGGAUUAGCUAGUUGGUGGGGUAAAGGCCUACCAAGGCGACGAUCCGUAGCUGGUCUGAGAGGACGACCAGCCACACUGGGACUGAGACACGGCCCAGACUCCUACGGGAGGCAGCAGUGGGGAAUUUUGGACAAUGGGCGCAAGCCUGAUCCAGCAAUGCCGCGUGAGGGAAGAAGGCCUUCGGGUUGUAAACCGCUUUUGGCAGGAACGAAACGGUGUCCGCUAAUACCGGGCGCUAAUGACGGUACCUGCAGAAUAAGCACCGGCUAACUACGUG
rnacentral:rRNA from 1 species